rnacentral:rRNA from 1 species
UACGUAGGGUCCAAGCGUUAAUCGGAAUUACUGGGCGUAAAGCGUGCGCAGGUGGCUUGUUAAGAUCGAUGUGAAAUCCCCGGGCUCAACCUGGGAACUGCAUUUGUGACUGCACGGCUAGAGUGUGUCAGAGGGGGGUAGAAUUCCACGUGUAGCAGUGAAAUGCGUAGAUAUGUGGAGGAAUACCGAUGGCGAAGGCAGCCCCCUGGGAUGACACUGACGCUCAUGCACGAAAGCGUGGGGAGCAAACAGG